GCGGGGGUUGCCAAGCCAGGUCAAAGGCGCAGGGCUUAGGACCCUGUCCCGUAGGGGUUCGUGGGUUCGAAUCCCACCCCCCGCACCA
rnacentral:tRNA from 1 species